rnacentral:lncRNA from 1 species
AAAUGCCGAUAAGAAAAAGUAAAUUCAGAUUUUACUAAGUUACUUUUUGGUAUUUUCGUAAUGCUUGAGAAGUUAAAAUACUAAUACGAGCAUACAUCAAUGACAAGAGAAGAUAAAGGACAUGAACAUAACAUGACAAGGACACGCAUAUAACUAUCAAACAUGAACAGAGGGAAGAAGCAAGCUUGUAGGACAGAAUAUAUGCAUCACAUCACAAACAACACAGACAUAUAUGUAUAUAUCACAGGACACCACAUACAUAUGAAGAUUGCUAUUUCACUAAACAGAGUAUGACAGGUCAACUAGUUAGGACAUACUAAUCAAGCAUUUAUAUUAAUACUUCUCAAAGUGAUAAGGUAUCAACUAGUUAGGACAUACUAAUCAAGCAUUUAUAUUGAACUUCGAAACUGAACCAAACAGUAGGAUAUUACACUUAUCAAAACUGAACAUUACAUAGUACUGAUUAUUACACUUCUGAAGGUUACAGAAAUUUGAGAGAGAGAGAGAGAGCAGCAAGGUUGGGAAAGGAGCAGCGGUAGGGGUGUGAGGAGAGAAGCAGCAGAAGUUUUCUGGUUCAGAAAAGAAGACAACAGCAAGAGGCGUGGGCAAGAAGAGAGCAGCAGAAGCAAGUUGAGGACAGCAGCAGCAAGGCAGAGAAAAGAGAGAGCAGCAACAGAAGGUUCCUGGGAGAGGGAGCAGCAGCAGAUCACGGGAAAAGGAGUAGCAGGAGGAGUGGAGAUCAGCAAGGGGGCGAAGUAGGAGAAGAGCAACAGUAAAGGGAUUGAAGGAGGAGAAGAGAGGUGGAGGAGCAGCAAGGGGAAGAAGAAGGGCAGCAGCAAGGCAGGGGAAGAAGAAGGCAGCGGCAGAAGGCAAGGUCGCGCGGGGCACCAGACCCCUGGUCUGGUAGGGCGCACGAGCGAUGAUGGUGAAGGGGUGGCGCUGAUGGAUGGUGCAGCGGCGCGAGGUGGUGAUGGAGUGGAUGGAUGGUGGUGUAUGGAGGUGCUGGUGGACGGAGGGCGCGGUGGAGCGGUGGCGCGCUGCCACGCCGGCCUGGCCGCGGCGACGGCCAGAGGUGGAGAAGGUUGGGGGAGAGGGAGAUGGAGAUGCCAGGCUCGAUUUGGGAAUGGAUGCAUCUAGGGAUUUUGAUCCCCAUCUGAUCUGCCACUUUUAUGAUUUGGCCCUCCUCUUCUAUUCAUUUCUUCCCAAGAAGAUCCCCUUCUUCUUUUAGUUUGCUCCCCUAGAUACUUCUUUUCUUCUCACUGAAGUCCUUGACAUAUUUCUUUCAUGCCCUUCUCUCUUCUGGUUAGCCAUGUAUUCGGAAUCUUGAUGAUUAUAGUGCCUUUGCGCACUUUUCUGCAAAAGAAACAAGUGACAAGUAAAUGAAUCCUUUAUAUGAUUCUCAUUAAAAUAUGCGGUAAUUCAUAGCAAGAAUUGAUUGUCAGAUCACAACAGAUGCUAUAUUUGGGUGUCAAAUUAUAUAUAUGAAAUGUGCUUAUCAAGUUCCCCCACACUUAAAUCUUUGCUUGUCCUCAAGCAAUGGCAAAUGACAGGAGCAAGAAUGUGAACCGUGAGCUGACUAGAGAAUGCCAAGUGAAGUAGAUCUCCAAACAAUGCAUGCUUUGGACUUAGCUAGUGAAAAUCAAUGGUUAGGAGUGCUUCAAAGCGGUAGGAUACUAGUAGACUUGACCAUUUUAAACUUUUACAAUGAUAAAAGAGGAUCAACAAGUUUAAGUGAUGACUAUGCCAAAUGGUUCCUAAAGAGAGCAUGAUCCCGAGAACAAAAAGAACUGGAAUUAAAUCUUGUGAUCAAAUCACUUAUUUACAGAGAUAAAGCAAUGAUUAUAUUAUUAUUAGUCUCACCAUAGGAACAUACCACCGAUCCCGAGAACAUGAUAUACACCCGGCUCGACCAAUUAUUAGUUUUUUUUGUUUUCCUCCCCAAAGGAACAUACCACCGAUCCCGAGAACAUGGUAUACACCUGGUUCGACAAUUACAUUUUUUUAACAUAAUUAACUCCUAUCCGAUCCAACCAGAUUUCACAAGCCACCGAUCCAGGGAACAUGACAUGCUACUGUUAGGUAAGAUCAGAUAAUUAUUCAUUAUAAUAUAUACUUUUUUUGAACAAAAACAAGAAUCAUCACUCAACCAUGUCUGGUUCACAUACUACCGAUCCAGGGAACAUAGCAUGCUAAUCCAUAGUGGUUAGGUGAUUGCUCUCAAUGGGAACACACUUAGCACAAGUUCAGCAUCUAAACAUGGUGAUCUAGGUGUAUCAUAGUAAAUGCAGAAAAUGAUGAAGUUUUCUAGUGAACUAGGGAUUUGAGCACUCAAAACUAAUAGUUCUCACUAAUUUUAGCAAAGCAAUCAUUGUAUAGAUCACUAGUUUAUAAGGCAUUCAGAAAUCAGUUCACAUAUUCACAUCAAGCACCAUAUGUCAAAGGUAAAAUUCAAUGGGACAACAUUUAAGAAAUGGCUCAAGCAACCCAAAUAUCAAAUGAUUUCAGCAUGUAUCAAUGGAUGAUAUAUUAAGAUUGGGGUCAUGAAGCAGCUCACCGGGCUUUGAUGUGGCACUCGCUCGACACCCUCUAAACUGCAGCUCUUCUCUUUUUGCUUCUCUAUCCUCAUGCCUGCUCCAUCUUCACUCUUCUUCACGUGUGCCCAUUGCUUCUCCUCAUCACCAUGCCGUGAAUCCACCAGGAUCCCAUGGGAUGUCAUCUCGAACUUGGUCAGCUCGCAAUGAAUGGUAUACAAGCGUAAACCUGAAAGAAAACUCAACAAACAAGCCAAUACAAGUGUAGGGACAAUGCCCUCUAAGUCAUCAAUAGAGUAUCCUAUCACAUAAGCAUAUCUAUUGAGCAUAUGAUAAAUAGAUAUCAUCAACAAAUUGCAUGGUGCAUAGGCAGUAUCCAUGAUAUGGCAUGUCUUUUUGAGAAAGUAGCGAUCAUACCUGAGAUAGUUAGGAAGAAGCUUCAGGACUACCUCAAUUGAAGAUACCAAGUGAGGUGUGGUAGUAGAAAUUUCCACCGGACUCGUGGCAACAAGUGAAAUAGUGGAGCUUGGCUCCUUGACAUCUGAAUCCACCUCACCAUAAUCAACCAUGAAGCUCUCCAUCUCAGGCUCAAGUGUUGAGGAAUCAAUGCGGCUAACAUCAUCGAAGGCGAACUUUUCCAUAUCUAGCUCUAGCAGCACAUGAUCAAUAUCAACUAAAGGUGUCUCCUCAAUAUCAAAAGUAACUAACUGUAGCUCUGGUUCAUCCACCGAAGAAUCAUCACAAUGCAAAACUGAAUCUAGAAUGCUAGUAUCCAUAUGAUCUGAAGUGUGUGUGUCAACUAGGAUGGUGUCAUCAUCAUCAAAGAUAAUCCAUGAAAGCUCAAUCUUGUCACACGGAGAAACUGGUUCUGGCUUUUGUGUAAGAGAUUCUUGCUUAGAUGAAGUGAUUUGUUGCAAGCAAACCAAUGAAUCAGACGUGGGCUUCUUAUUCUACCACUGAAGUUGGUGGAAAGCUAUGCUCUCAAUCAGCAGAAAAGCAUCAUCAAGUGUCUUGUUUGUAAUAGCUCCACCCGCUGCCAUAUCAAUGUAAUCGCGAGUGUCCGAAGUCAAUCCUCUAUAGAAUAUCUGCAGCUCUAACCAUCUCUCGAUCCCAUGAUUAGGACAUCUCCUGAACAAGGCAUUGUACCUCUCCCAAGCAUCAUACAAACUCUCACCUUCACGCUGAACAAAGUUGAAGAUAUCAUCUCGAAUCACGGACUGCUUGUGUAGUGAGAAAUAUUUAUCCAAGAAUGCUUGUGAUAUCUCAAUCCAACUGUAUGACCUUGAUGGCAAGGAUCGGUACCAAGCACGAGCAUCAUCACAGAGAGAGAAUGUAAACAACCUGCACAUGAUUGCAUCUUGAGGAACUCUGUGGUACUUGACUGUAUCUGAAUACUCCAUGACUCGGUGUAAGUGCUCAUAGGGAUCCUCAGUAGGCCGUCCUCCAAACUAACAUUGUUGAACCAAAGCAAUAAGACUAGGUUUCAGCUUGAAGUUCUCUGCCUCAAUAGUUGGCCAAACUGGUCCUGUGAUAUAGCAUUGACUUUUGGGCAUCCAAAGAUCACGAAGCAAUGCCAUCUUAACCGAGUGUAACUAUAGAACAACCUGCAAAGAUUUAUGAUUUCCUACACACGCUCAUAAACAGCAAACACUAGUCAGAAGAUUAGUAUCAUCAUAAGCCGAAGCAACACCAAGGAAAAAAAGAAACACUGAAAAAGAAAUACAGAGUGAAUUAAACGAUGAAAUAAACUAAACCUAGUCUAUAGCCUAACACAAUCGCUCGACGCUAGUCCCCGGCAACGGCGCCAAAAUGAUCAAUUGUAAGUACAGUGGGGUUUUACGCCCAAAGUGCAAGUGUCGUGUUCUCCACAGGGACUAGGCGAUUAGCGGCUAGGUGCGACUAAAGCUAGGUAAGACAAUUCAAGUGAUGAUGCAGGGAAAUAAACCUAUACUAUCUUAGAUUAUCGCCAAAGAAAAUGCCGAUAAGAAAAAGUAAAUUCAGAUUUUACUAAGUUACUUUUUGGUAUUUUCGUAAUGCUUGAGAAGUUAAAAUACUAAUAUGAGCAUACAUCAAUGACAAGAGAAGAUAAAGGACAUGAACAUAACAUGACAAGGACACGCAUAUAACUAUCAAACAUGAACAGAGGGAUGAAGCAAGCUUGUAGGACAGAAUAUAUGCAUCACAUCACAAACAACACAGACAUAUAUGUAUAUAUCACAGGACACCACAUACAUAUGAAGAUUGCUAUUUCACUAAACAGAGUAUGACAGGUCAAAUACUUCUCAAAGUGAUAAGGUAUCAACUAGUUAGGACAUACUAAUCAAGCAUUUAUAUUGAACUUUGAAACUGAACCAAACAGUAGGAUAUUACACUUAUCAAAACUGAACAUUACAUAGUACUGAUUAUUACACUUCUGAAGGUUACAGAAAUUUGAGAGAGAGAGAGAGCAGCAAGGUUGGGAAAGGAGCAGUAGUAGGGGGCGUGAGGAGAGAAGCAGCAGCAGUUUUCUGGUUCAGAAAAGUAGACAGCAGCAAGAGGCGUGGGCAAGAAGAGAGCAGCAGAAGCAAGUUGAGGACAGCAGCAGCAAGGCAGAGAAAAGAGAGAGCAGCAACAGAAGGUUCGUGGGAGAGGGAGCAGCAACAGAUCACGGGAAAAGGAGUAGCAGGAGGAGUGGAGAUCAGCAAGGGGGCGCAGUAGGAGACGAGCAGCAGCAAAGCUGCAAAGGGAUUGAAGGAGGAGAAGAGAGGUGGAGGAGCAGCGAGGGGAAGAAGAAGGGUAGCAGCGAGGCAGGGGAAGAAGAAGGAAGCAGCAGAAGGCAAGGUCGCGCGGGGCACCAGACCCCUGGUCUGGUAGGGCGCGCGAGCAAUGAUGGUGAAGGGGUGGCGCUGAUGGAUGGUGCAGCGGCGCGAGGUAGUGAUGGAGUGGAUGGGUGGUAGUGUAUGGAGGUGCUGGUGGACGGAGGGCGCGGUGGCGCGCCGCCACGCCGGCCUGGCCACGGCGACGGCCAGAGGUGGAGAAGAAGGUUGGGGGAGAGGGAGAUGGAGAUGCCAGGCUCGAUUUGGGAAUGGAUGCAUCUAGGGAUUUUGAUCCCCAUCUGAUCUGCCACUUUUAUGAUUUGGCCCUCCUCUUCUAUUUCAUUUCUUCCCAAGAAGAUCCCCUUCUUCUUUUAGUUUGCUCCCCUGGACACUUCUUUUCUUCUCACUGAAGUCCUU